AGAAAGCCCACAGAGGUAUUCAGACAGGAGAAGGAACAUACGUCCAACUCCAGUGACUUUGGGCUUGGCCUUGUGACUUGUUUUGACCAACAAAGUAUGAGCAGACUUGACUCAAGCCACCUUCCAGGGGAGGCAUAAGCUGUGCUUGCAUGCUUCGGCUCUACCUCUCAUGUUCUGCCCACUCUCAUGAGAACAGCAUGACACAGAUGAAAGAUGCUCCUUCAGUCUGAAACCUGAAGAGAGAAGCUACAUAGAGCUAAGCCCAGCUGAGCCCAGCCCAGCCAAUACAGUGCAUUGACCUGCAGCUAUCUUACAAUAUGAGUCGGAAAUAGACAUUUGUUCUUGUAAGCUCUUGAGAUAAUAUGGUUGUUUGUUACCACAGCAAAAGCUAAUAAACCACCGUUAGAAAACAGAUAAAGUGUUUUAAAUUUUUAGAAUAUUUGGAAAUGAUGCUAAGUUUGUGAAGUUCCUUAAGGUAUGCAAAUGAAAAAUAAUUUACCUUAAUCAUUGUCAUAAACCUGAAUCAAAGUUUGAAAUAAAAAUCAUGCCUACUAGCCCUUACUUAAGUGAUUUAUAGACAAUGUAAAUCUUUGUAAACUACCUCAAAUAAUGUGAUAAACAAGAUAUAAAGCAGGCUUUCUUUUCAUUUGUCUCUGUGGGUUCUUUAACAGCUAUACAGCCAUACUCCCUGUACUUGGAUUUACCAUGGAAAACAUUUUCCCUCUCCGUUAUUGUUGGCAAAAGCUGCAUCUUUCUGGUCUGUUCAGUACUCGACAAUUUGUACUGCCAAUUAUGCUAUUACAAUGUCUCUUAAGGUUUCCUCCACUGCUCCUUUAUUCUUGGUACCUCCUUUGUGAUUUCAGAGUCGUUUUAUGGAAUUGUAAUGUGGCUCUUGACAUAUAAUUGAAGCAUGUUAAAUUACCCUGGCUUAAAUAAACAACUUACC
rnacentral:lncRNA from 1 species